rnacentral:sRNA from 1 species
CUCCCAAAGUGCUGGGAUUACAGGCGUGAGCCACCACGCCCGGCCAAAAAAAUUAUUUAAGUAUGCAGUAAACUCAAAGUCUGUGUGGACUCUAUUUACAGGGUAUGCUUUUUCCAAGCCAGAUUUGAUCACAUGGAUGGAACAAGGGAGAAUGCUAUUAAUCAGCGAACAGGGAUGCUUAGAUAAAACAAGAAGGACAACUAGCCCUCCUACUGAUGAACAGUUGAACAUGAAGAACACUGGAAAGUUGCUAUGUUUUGAUGACGAAGGAACUCCCAGGACAAAAGAAGAGGAUUGCCGUUUAAAUGGUCCUCAAAAACAGGACUUGUGUGCUGCCUUACGAGGGAAAGAGAGAAAGAUUUUGUUAGCUCAAACAGCCACCUUCCAGUCUCCAAGUCUCCGAGAAACAGAGAUUCUAAAUAAAAAAGUCAGCAUCACAGCAUAUGAUCCAGACAAGAAAGACCUGCAGCAUAAGCCUCGGGAGACCCCAGGGCGCUUAGAAAUUCCCACAGGGCCAAGAUGCUAUUCCUGCUAUGUCUGUAGGAAAGUCUUCC